GGUGCCUUCGGGAACUCUGACACAGGUGCUGCAUGGCUGUCGUCAGCUCCGUGUCGUGAGAUCGUUGGGUUAAGUCCCGUAACGAGCGCAACCCUUGUCCUUAGUUACCAGCACGUUAUGGUGGGCACUCUAAGGAGACUGCCGGUGACAAACCGGAGGAAGGUGGGGAUGACGUCAAGUCAUCAUGGCCCUUACGGCCUGGGCUACACACGUGCUACAAUGGUCGGUACAAAGGGUUGCCAAGCCGCGAGGUGGAGCUAAUCCCAUAAAACCGAUCGUAGUCCGGAUCGCAGUCUGCAACUCGACUGCGUGAAGUCGGAAUCGCUAGUAAUCGUGAAUCAGAAUGUCACGGUGAAUACGUUCCCGGGCCUU
rnacentral:rRNA from 1 species